AUCCGAGUCCCAAAUAGAACGAAACGCGAGUCCUGGAU
rfam:Schistosoma haematobium scaffold622_14, whole genome shotgun sequence.